rnacentral:lncRNA from 1 species
CAUGGCUCUAACCCAGUCCCUCCACAGCGGUGGCCCCUCGGAAUCCCAUGAUCCUGUCUGGCCCGUGGUCAUGAAGGUGAUUCCCCUGGCUGGGGGGCGUCUCAUGCCACGGAUGUCUGACCCUGCCCGGAUAUGAGCCUGAUUCUCAGAAAGAAUUUACAGGUUUUAGAAAAGCGCCAGUUUACAUCAUUUUCUCCAUUCUUCCUCCAGUUUUAUUCCCUCCCACUGCACAGUCAUGGGGGCAGAAAAGAAGGUCCCUGAUGUGGAUCUGGUUUGAAGCUGCACUGGGUGGGCCAUGGCCUCACUUCUUGCUGUACACCUAAACCCCUUUGCAGUCUUCACAAGCCAGGUAGAGGAAACACCACCUUUCUUUUCUCCAUCUGGUCGGCUGCUUGCUCAUGGAAGGGCUAGAACCAACCCCAAGCUUUGAUGCCCCCAGACCUUAGCACGGGGGUCCUCUCUCCAUGAUCCAGGGACAGAGCAAGAAGAGCAUGACAGUGUGCAGGCUCAGAGCCUUGGGCUUGGAGCAAAGGAUAUCAGCUCCUAGAAGAGAAUGAAGCAGGCCAUAUUCUCAUGCUCCUGGCUCGCUCGGAUGAGCUGGGCUGGGGACUGUCACCCAGCAUUCGUUUGGCACAGAUGGUAGCAUUUUCUUUGCCAAGAAAAGUGGCUCCUUACUCAAAAUGAGCCCUUCCAGGCCUUGUAUGUGUGAUGACAGCUGCUCUGGAUGGUGGCUUCAUGAUUGAAGGAGGGGAAUCUCCUUGUGUACCUUUAAUUUGAUUUUCUUACCAAGAAGCUAAAAUCUAUUUUUUCUUUGCCAAACUGAAAAAUAUUAACACAACCAGAUUUGGUUGUGGAGGUUGAGAUUUAAAUUCGGAUAAUGUAAAAGGAAGAGAGCUUAUUGCCAUUAAUUUCACCAAGAUCCAUGUGAUACUCUCAGUGUGAACUAGGAAACCGUCAGGGAAAUCUGGAGGAGCUUAAGGGAGACCUGGGGAAGACUGCAGGAGUGAAAUGGAAGGACCCAGAGGGGUGGGCCCAGGGGCUGGACCAGUCUUACAGGGAGCAGUUCUAUUCAUUUCACUUUCAAACAUUUAUUGGUCACUAGACCCUGUUGGGCAGCCCCCUUCAUCAAGCACAACACAGUUAUCCCUUAGGGAGUGAACGUAAAUCAGUGUUGGUUCCUCUUAUCAAGGUCCAGCUGAGAACCAGAUGAGCACAAUGGGAACCUCUUUAGGCUUCUGUCCCUUUCUCCUCAGCCCAAACUGGCCAUUGUCAUAGAAGCAACAUUCCAUUCUCACCCACGGUUCAACCUCCAGAACACGGAAAUGGCAGGGGCCAGCCCAUCACAGGUUACAAACCCAUGAGCUUGCAAGAGGACUUCCCCCAGCAUCCUCAAUCAAUGUGUGCCUGUCCCAAUUUCAAAACAUGUAAAAAGAUAAAAAGGCAACUCUACCCUACCAGAGAUUUUUUUCUAUCCCCCUUUACUGGGAAAAAAAAA